CCCCCCUCGUCUGUAGUUACUUACUUACUUAAGCAUCAUCGUCCUUCUUGCUUUGAUGCACAUAAGGCCGACACUAGCUCUCUCCAUAACACUCUGUCUUGUGCUUUCUUCUCUAAUUCUCGCCAUGCACCCCAACCUCCUUCAUCUCGCUUUCCAUUUUCUUGUCCAUGUUUCCUUUGGACUUCCCCUUUUCCUCUUGCCAGUUGGAGUCCACCUCAGUGACACUUUAGCGAUGUUUGCUGGUUUCUUCCUUAAGACAUGGCCUAUCCAUUUCAUUUUCCUUUUUUUUAUUUCAUCUCUUAUGUCUCUUUGUGCUGUCAGUUUGAAUAGUUCCUGAUUGGAUAUUUUGUUUGGCCAAAAGAUUUUGCAUAUUCUUCUCAAGCAGGUAUUGUGGAAUGCAGCCAGUUUGUUGAAGCCAGUUUGUAUAAUUCUCCAACAUUCUGAGCCAUAAAGCAGUACAGAUUUGACAUUGCUGUUGUAGAUUUUAAGUUUUGUGUUUCUGGCAAGGGAUGACGAUUUCCAGACUGGUCUGAGUAGACAAAAGGAUGUUCUAGCCUUACUCAGUCUUGCUGUGAUGUUUUUGAUGGUCCCAUUAUAUCUGCUUAUUACGCUGCCUAGGUAUCUAAAGUCUUCUAUUUCCUCGAUGUUUAAGGAUCCAAUCUUUACUGGAAUUUUAUUUGAUUGGUCGUUGAUUGACAUGACUUUCGUUUUCUCGUUGUUUAUUUUGAGCCCAAGUUUGUUUGACAUAGUAUUCAGUCUUGAUGUUUUCUUUUGCAUUUGUGCUCUGCUGCUGGAUAGUAAGCAAAUGUCAUCUGCAAAGUCUAAAUCUUCAAGAAAGGAGUUGAGUGUCCAUCUUAUCCCAGUGUUUCCAUUUCCUAAGGUUGAUC
rnacentral:lncRNA from 1 species